rnacentral:rRNA from 1 species
AUGGUGCACUUGUCUACCGCGCGAGCAACGCUGGAAUAUAUAUAUGCACCACCCCUGCUGAUCGAUAGCGUGCGCACAUCUCAGCCAGCUAGAGAAGGGAUGUCUGGUUCCGGCUCGGGCUCCGGCGUGUGGGUGUUCAAGAACGGCGUGAUGCAGCUGCAGCCGGAGCAGCCGGCGGCGGGCCGGAAGGCGCUGCUCUACGUGCCCACCGGCGAGAAGAUGACGUCGCUGGAGCUACUGGAACGCCGCCUGGGAGCGCACGGCUGGGAGCGCUACUACGAGAACCGCGACAUCGUGCAGCUCCACCGCCGCGACGGCGGCAUCGACCUCAUCUCCCUCCCGCGGGACUUCACCAAGUUCCGCUCCACCCACAUGUACGACGUCGUCCUCAAGAACCGCGACAGCUUCAAGGUGCAGAUGAGCCUGGGCACCGAAACGCUCUACUCAUGA